GCCCUCGUAGCUCAAUGGUAGAGCGCGUCACUAGUACUAACAUGUCUACUGUAGUUCGAUUCCGUCCGAGGGCA
rnacentral:tRNA from 1 species